UUUUAAUUGAAAUCUAAAUAUAAAACUAUCUUUCAAUAGGUUAUAGAUAUCAUAACUCGUCUUGCUUUUACUUAAAAUAAUAAUUUUAAUUGCAAAAAUAAUAUAUAAAAUGCAUGGUUGAUGUGAAUAACCUGAGUGAUCUAUCCUUUAUUGUCUUAUACACCAAUAACAUUUAUGAACGUAUUCUCACCCCCGUUUGUUUCUGGUGUUGGCUUUGCGCAUAUGGUGCAGAUACUUAGGUAUUAUCAAGGUGAUUCAAGAUAAUAAAGUUUGUGGAUAACAAAACUUUAGGGCAGUUGAGCAGUUGUUUUGUUUCGAUGAUAACACCACCUGAUAACAAAAGAUAUUUAGUGAAGUCUUUAUCUAUUGGUGAUAGCUCAAACGGUCAAAGAUGCUCAAAAUGAUUGAUUAAGUUAUCCUCUUAAACCGAGCUAACCUUUUGAAGAUGUUCUUGAUGGGAAGACUUUUUACAACUGAGUAAUCGAUUAGGCCUAAUGACCUAAUCAAUUAUUUUCACUAAGUUCAGUUUAAAAGCGAUUGGUACAAUCUCUUAAUGAUUGGUAACAACUAAAUAUUAAAAACUUCUAUUUGUGACUUGAACAAUCGAUUAUUGGAGGUCGAUAUACGAUUAGCCUAAUCAAAUAUGACAUUGAUUUGGACAA